CGUUGCUCUUCCAAUCAGGUUCGUCCCCUAAAAGUUCUGCUUGGUUACCCUCCGUCCUUUUUCCGGCGAGUGUUCGUGCGAAGUGUGUGACGUUGCCAUGGUGACAGUUAGUCUUGACCACCGCGAUGGUAAAAAUGUCGAGAAAGAAAAGGAAAGAGUUAAAAAAGAAGAUGAGCGACAGACGCCAGAAGACGGACAGCUGAAACGGAGACAUGCUCACUCUUCCACGGUGAUGGGGCGGACCUUGAGGCACACCUGCAGCUAAUCAGUUCUUGGACCAGACAGCUGUGCCUUGCUGGUUAUUGUUUCCUGUUCCUUCCGCGUCGCAUGCGUUUGCUUGACCUCCAAGUCCUGGUAUGUUUUUUAGCCCUAAUUAUACGUCCUCCCUGAGGUAAGGAAGAUGUCUAUUGUGGACUUUUCCUUUGCUCCGUGUGCCCGGGCCCUUCCCCUUGCCGACCUCUGAGGUUCUUGCUUAUUGCCUAUGUUAUACGUUGUGCGUUUCUGCCCCAUCACCUUUUGUUAACCUUUUGGGACUUAAAGAUUCUCCUUUUUUGAUUCCAUCUUGUCUCCCGUCUCUGCAUUCUGGGGUCAACAUUUUGACCAAGUCCUAACACAAUAACCAGCCAGAUCAUGGACCUCGCGGAGACCAACACGGUCAAGAUGGCACUGCGCCAACAGGCAAUCCAACGAUCCAACGGUCCAGCUGAAUCUUCCUCUACCCGCAGACAUUCCGUCUCUCCCCCGCUGAGAGGAAUCGCCGCCUUCGUUUGCAGCUGUGUUUAUAUUGCAGCCAAGCUCAACAUCUCAUCGCACACCGUCCUCUUCGCCCGGCUUGCUGUCGCACUCAAGCUACACUCUUCUCGAUCCUGAUCUCCAGCGACCGACUCUGCUCCUCGACUGCCAGCUACAGGUCAGAUGUUGUCUAGAGUUCAACUCUGGAGUACACUUGCCUGGGAUAAGGAUCAGCGAUUGGACAUUAGGGCUCUCAUUGACUCUGGUGCUGAUGAUACAUUUUAUUGAUGAAUCAGUCAUUAAGCGUUUUUCCACACCUGUUUCUAAAUUACCUAAACCUAGAGUUGUCCAAUUUCUUGACAAAGGCCACCUGGCGAGCGUAACCCAUCAGUCUAAUCCCUUAUCCCUUUAAUUAUCUGGUAACCACUUAGAAUCUAAUUUUCUAGUCAUUCCCUCUCGUCCUGCUCCUAUUGUGUCCCUGCUUACCUGGCUAGCUAAACACAACCCUCAUAUCGACUGUUAAAGUUAAAGUCUCAGCGAUUGUCACACGCACACUGGGUGUGGUGAAAUUUGUACAGGUGAUCUAUGUUCCCAUCCUCACCUAUGGUCAUGAGCUUUGGGUUAUGACUGAAAGGACAAGAUCACGGGUACAGGCGGCCGAAAUGAGUUUCCUUGGCUGGGUGGCGGGGCUCUCCCUUAGAGAUAGGGUGAGACGCUCCGUCAUCCGGGAGGAGCUCAAAGUAAUCAGAAGUACUUUAUUAAUCCCCAAGGGGAAAUUAAGUUGCUGCUCCUCCACAUGGAGAGGAGCCAGAUGAGGUGGUUCGGGCAUCUGGUCAGGAUGCCAGCCGAACGCCUCCCUAGGGAGGUGUUUAGGGCACGUCUGGCCGGUAGGAGGCCAUGAGGAAGACCCAGGACACGUAUGUCUCCCGGCUGGCCUGGGAACGCCUCGGGAUCCCCCGGGAGAAGCUGGACCAAGUAUGUUCACAUUAGCUUGCUAGCAUGCUAGUGCAUAAAGCAUAAAUCCAAAUGUUAAAAAAGGCCAUACUGCUGAUUGUAAACCUGAAUAUCUUCUAUUUGUCUUGUUUCUCACACUACAGAUAAUCUAAUAAGUGAAACUGGUGGGAAGGGUUACUUUUCUUUCUCAUUUUAAAGGUGGCUAGAAUGUUGUGUUUUAAUGUUCUUUUGACUUCCCUUUUAUUUUAUGUCUGCAUUUUCUCUUGACAAAGGCCACCUGGAGAGCGUAACCCAUCAGUCUAAUCCCUUAUCCCUUUAAUAAUUAUUCACUUAUUAGAUUAUCUGUAGUGUGAGAAACAAGACAAAUAGAAGAUAUUCAGGUUUACAAUCAGCUGCAUGGCCUUUUUUAACAUUUGGAUUUAAGAAUUCCUAAGAAUUCACGGACAUUCAAGUGGGAGUCAUCUGCCAUGAGAACACAGAUGAACUACACCUCUCAUCAUCCUCCAGGGCAGCCUUGUAAAUGACUCUUGUUUGACUUUACCUAUGCACUCCACCUGCAGUACCGGAAAUGCUUGAACAGCACUUGAACAUUGGACCUUAUUCAGCAAGUAAUGCAUACAUGAGGUCAAAGAGCUUCAAAAAGGUUGAAAAGCUACAGAAUGAGUUUGCAGGUGAGAGACAUUUACUAUUUCUCUAAAUUGUUGCACAAUUAGACUGAAGCAAUUAUUAUUGGAAUGGAGUUAAUACUGUAUGUCUAGCAGUUAUGGUAAAUGGGUUAUACUUGUAUAGCGCUUUUCUACCUUCAAGGUACUCAAAGCGCUUUGACACUAUUUCCACAUUCACCCAUUCACACACACAUUCACACACUGAUGGCCGGAGCUGCCAUGCAAGGCCCUAACAACCACCCAUCAGGAGCAAGGGUGACGUGUCUUGUUCAAGGACACAAUGGACAUGACUAGAAUGGUGGAAGCUGGGGAUCGAACCAGGAACCCUCGUGUUGCUGGCACGGCCACACCGUUCAUUUUACUGAAAUGAUUCUUCAUGUUACACUUCUGAGAAUGUUAGUUUUUUUACCAACUCUGGUCCUCACUGCAGUUGUUUUUCAUUCCUAAUUUGUUGCUUUGUUGUUUUCAAUAAAAAGAUCAAAAGUA